GCCGGGUGUGGUGGCUCACACCUGUAAUCCCAGCACUUUGGGAGGCUGAGACGGGUGGAUCACCUGAGGUCAGGAGUUCAAGACCAGCCUGGCCAGCAUGGUGAAACCCUGUCUCUA
ensembl:misc_RNA Metazoa_SRP Metazoan signal recognition particle RNA